AAUGGGAAUGUUAAAAGAAAAACAAAGUCAUUAGAAAAAAAUCAUGCAUGUUUUACUGCACAAUGUUACAUGCACAGCAAAUUAAAGAUGAGGAAAAUAAGUUUCAGCUUGUAAAAGAGGGCAUCCACUGUGAGGAAAAACAAGCAAAAAUAAACUCCUUUCCCUUCUUGGCAGUGCUCUCCUUUUGUGGUGAUGUACUCAGACUGGUAAUAUGAUUGAAAAAUCCCAUCUCGUUCUUCCAGACCCUAUAAAAAGCCAGUAUGGCGGCUGUAAUGCUGAUGUGUGACUGCAUGGCCCUGAGCACACCACCAGGUGAAUGUCCUAGAAAAGCCUGGAAACACUCUUUAGCUUUCAAUUGGGGAUUCUGUGGCCUCUUUCUGAAAAGGGAAGAGAAAACCUUCAAUUUCAUUUAUGAAACAAAUACGCAGUAGGUGAAGGGAAAGAGACAGCAUGACAAUACUGGCAGUGAAUCCACAACAAAAGCAUUGCUGUGUGACCUUGAGAUGAGCUGCUGGCACUGUGAAUACCGGGGGCCACGGGAGAAUGAGGGUGACAUGCACAUUCAUGACUUCACUCUUGGAUGGACUAAGCCUGCUCAAUAUGCUGCUUAAAAUUCUAACCAUGCUGUCAUAUCCUCUUCCUGAUGAGAGGAAAUUCCUUAUUGUUAUUUAAUCUAAUAGUGUAUCAAAGCAAAAUUUCAUUAACAUAAUCACAGUGAUACAAGGAUAUACGAUACAGUGGUUAAAUUCUUUGCAUGUUAGUUCCAGCUGGUAUGAUUUCAGUCUUUAAAUCAAGGCUGGUGGGCAUUUCAGAAGACUGAUCAUCUCAUUAAUUGUUUUGUGCUUGGAACCAUCUGAAACAACAAACACAAUGUGAAAUCACUGAAUCUUUGACAUGAAAUGUAGUUAUAAAGCAGCCUGUAGACUGUAAAUAUGCUGCACGUAGAGUCUGCAAGGAAACUAAAUGGUUCACACUGGUGCCUGGCAACGAGAAAGUCCUCUUCUCAGAGUGCAGUUUGCUUGUCCUCCCCGUCUUCACAUGGAUGCCUUCCAGGUGCCGGACUUCCAAUCUGUCUGUGAUAUUUCCCAGCCUUUAGCUCAGCACAUGCUGGAUCCACUCCAUGCCACCUGCAAACCCCAGUUAAGUGAGUGU